rnacentral:tRNA from 1 species
UCCCUGGUGAUCCAGCGGUUAAGACUCUACACUUUAAAUGCAGGGACCUCAGGUUCAAUCCCUGGUUGUGGAA